rnacentral:misc_RNA from 1 species
GAUGAAGAACGUAGUGAAAUGCGAUACGUAAUGUGAAUUGCAGAAUUCAGUGAAUCAUCGAAUCUUUGAACGCAUAUUGCGCUCUCUGGUAUUCCGGAGAGCAUGCUUGUUUGAGUAUCAGUAAACACCUCAACUUCCAUAUCUUUUUUGAAAUGGGAGUUGGACUUGAGUGAUCCCAACGCUUUUCCUCACCGAAAAGUGGCGGGUUACUUGAAAUGCAGGUGCAGCUGGACUUUUCUCUGAGCGAUAAGCAUAUCUAUUUAGUCUGCCUAAAAACAGAUUAUUACCUUUGCUGCAGCUAACAUAAAGGAGAUUAGUUCUUGUGCUGACUGAUGCAGGAUUCACAAAGACAGGCUUCGGCCGACUUUGUAAACUCGAUCUCAAAUCAAGUAAGACUACCCGCUGAACUUAAGCAUAUCAAUAAGCGGAGGA